rnacentral:rRNA from 1 species
AGUGAACGCUGGCGGUAGGCCUAACACAUGCAAGUCGAACGGCAGCACAGUAAGAGCUUGCUCUUACGGGUGGCGAGUGGCGGACGGGUGAGGAAUACAUCGGAAUCUACUUUUUCGUGGGGGAUAACGUAGGGAAACUUACGCUAAUACCGCAUACGACCUACGGGUGAAAGCAGGGGAUCUUCGGACCUUGCGCGAUUGAAUGAGCCGAUGUCGGAUUAGCUAGUUGGCGGGGUAAAGGCCCACCAAGGCGACGAUCCGUAGCUGGUCUGAGAGGAUGAUCAGCCACAAUGGAACGGAGACACGGUCCAGACUCCUACGGGAGGCAGCAGUGGGGAAUAUUGGACAAUGGGCGCAAGCCUGAUCCAGCCAUACCGCGUGGGUGAAGAAGGCCUUCGGGUUGUAAAGCCCUUUUGUUGGGAAAGAAAAGCAGCAGGUUAAUACCCCGCUGUUCUGACGGUACCCAAAGAAUAAGCACCGGCUAACUUCG